ensembl:lncRNA novel transcript, sense intronic to OBSCN
AGUUCACUAAUGCUCUUUUCACUUUUAAAAAUUCCUGUGUCUUUCAUUUUGCAUAGUUUUUAUUCAUGCCUUUAUGUCUACUAUCUUUUCUUCUGUAAUAUCUAUCCUAUGAAUCUCAUUCAUUUUAUUAUUUGUCUCUAUAAGUUCUACUUGAGUCUUUUAAAAUAUAUUCUACAUCUCUACUUAACGUUUUGAAUGCAGAGAAUACAAUUCUAAUACCUGUUUUCAUGUCUCCUCUACCAGUUCUAACAUCUGCAUCAGUUCCGGGUUGGUUUCAGUUGAUUAUUUUCUACUUUAUGGGUCAUCUUUUCCUGUCUCUUGGUAUGUCUGGUGAUAUUUGAUUGAGUGCCUGACAUUGUAAACUUUACCCUAUUAGGAUAUUUUGUAUUUCUGCAUAUCUUCUUGAGCUUUGUUCUGGGAUACAGUGAAGAUACUUGGAUGCGAUUUUAUUCUUUGGGGCCUAGCUUUUAUGAUUUCUUUGGUGGCUCCAGAGCAGUGCUCAGUCUAGGGCUAAUUAUUUCCCACUACUGAGGCAAGAACUUUCCUGAGUAUUCUACUCAAUGCCCUUUGAGUUAGGAAUUUUUCUAGUCUGACUGGUGGAACCAGGAGCUAUUCCUGGUACUGUUUCCCCUAAUCCUUUCACGUGGGUCUUUCCUCACAUGCAGAUACUAAUCAGUAUUCUGCUGAGUCCUUGAGGCAGGUCCUUUCUCUGUACAGCUUUCUUUUCUCCAGUACUUUGUCUGUGAACUCUAGCUGCCUUAGUCUCCCAGGACUCUGAGCUCCAUCUUCCCAUCUCAAGGAGUCUGCUGGGCCCUACCUCAGUUUCCCUUCCCUGAGCCUACAAAUUCAAGGCAGGAAACUGGAGCAAUCAUAGGGCUCAUGUUUGUUUCCUGUGUUUAAGAAAUCACUGUCCUGGCCUGGUGCACUUUGGCUCAUGACUGUAAUCCCAGCAUUUUGGGAGGCUUAGGCAGGAGGAUCACUUGAGCCUGGAAGUUCACGACUAGCCUGGGCAACACAGUGAGACCCUGUCUCUACAAAAAAAAAAAAUACAAAAAAAUUAGCCAGGCAUGGUGGUGUAUAUCUGUAGUCCCAGCUACUUGGGAAGCUAAGGCAAGAGGAUUGCUUGAGCCUGGGAGGUUGAGGCUGGAGUGCAGUGGCGCGAUCUCGUCUGACUGCAAGCUCCACCUCCUGGGUUCACGCCAUUCUCCUGCCUCAGCCUCCAGAGUAGCUGGGAUUACAGGCUCCGGCAACCACACCAGGCUAAUUUUUUGUAUUUUUAGUAGAGACGAGGUUUCACCGUGGUCUCGAUCUCCUGACCUUGUGAUCCACCCACCUCGGCCUCCCAAAGUGCUG